rnacentral:tRNA from 1 species
GCCGGGGUAGCUCAGUAGGUAGAGCGAUGGACUGAAAAUCCAUGUGUCGGCAGUUCGAUUCUGUCCCCCGGCACCA